ACAAACUCUACCAAAUACGUUGUAUAAUUCAACAAAAUAACCCAGUGACUCAAAAUGAUUCCUACACUUGUGUGUGUGUAUUACAAUUAGAAAAACAAGCUAUUAGUUUCUAAAGAGUUGGGGUUUAUACAAAAGAAAGUGUAUGAAAUAAACCAAAUACUACCAAAAUGACGUCACAAUGAAACCUACAUCGCCAAUAGGACAACGACUACUGAGAAACCGAAAUUGAUGUAUAUUGGACGAAGCUCGAAUUUAAUUAAAGUUUUGCAAUUGGAACAAGAAUUUGGAUUAAGCAUUUGAAAAAGUUAGAGUGUUUCUGUAACAUUGCACUCUGUCAACCACUUGCAGAAACGGCCGUGAGACAAUCACCGCCUCCUUCUUUCUAUAUAUAUCGCCAUGGCGGGAAGUGUUAGUUUGGUGUCGUUGUUAUUGUUGAUUCCAGCCGUCUGUGAGGGAUUCCUGUUGUGUUCCCUGUAUCCUAUGUUCUGUUCGUUGAAUUGCCAUAACGGUUACGCCAAAGACAGCAGCGGAUGUACAAUCUGCAAGUGCGCCACAGCGUCAUCUGAUUCCGCUGCUGUAUCUGAGGCAAGUGCGCAUGGUUACCCAGCAUCUACUUCCGGUUACCACCAUCCGUGUUUACCACAACAACAGUUCUGUCCCAGGAACUGCCCCGAAGGUUACCUCACAGGGAGUGGCGGAUGUCAAUUCUGUAUAUGUUACCAAGGCAACGUUACGGAUCCCAUAACGACAACCCCUCCGCCUACCACACACGGGGUCCAGGUUCACAUGACCAACCCGUGCAUUCAGAACCAGACCGUGUGUGACAAGUUUUGUGGGGAGGGCUACCUGCUGGGGCCGGACGGGUGUCAGUACUGUCUGUGUAGGAACCUCAUCCCGGGGCUCGUCUACACUAAAGCGCCCUCAACGGCGCCGUUAACAGGAACGACAACUCUAGCCUACUAUCUCCCGAACCCCUGCCAGGACGGACAACACGUGUGUACCGCUAACUGUCAGAACGGUUUCAUCCUGGGCCCCGGGGGAUGUCAGUACUGCAUGUGUGCCGCCAAAACCACCGCGCCAUUACAGACCACCACAGUAAAGCCUUCCGGAAGUGAUGUAGCGCCACCUACCACCUCGUUUCCUUCCGGUCACAUGGCCAACGAGUGUGCCAUUGCGUUCACGAUCUGCCAGAUCAAGUGUAAGCACGGCUUCCUGGCGGACACGGUCGACUGCCGCCGCUGUGUGUGCAAAGACGAGGUCUACAAGUCCGGUUAGUCUGGCAUCGAGAAGGCGGACGAGCCCGACAUUAAACUGAUGAACCCCUGCGUGCUAGGACUGGACGUCUGUAACGUGUUCUGUUACCAUGGAUACCUGCGCGGACCACGUGGCUGUCAAUACUGCGCAUGUCAAUUCACGCUCCCCGCGACACCAUGACGGCGUUUUUCGGAUGUUAUUUUGUAUUUAAACUAGGUGUCAAGUGUUAAAAUGAAUCAAAUAAAGUUUUUUCACAAAU
rnacentral:misc_RNA from 1 species